GACGAACGCUGGCGGCGUGCCUAAUACAUGCAAGUCGAACGCAGUGGGGACGGGUGAGUAACACGUGGGUAACCUCCCAUCAGAGGGGAUAACACUUGGAAACAGGUGCUAAACCGAUACUGAUGGAUGAACCCGCGGUGCAUUAGCUAGUUGGUGAGGUAACGGCUCACCAAGGCCACGAUGCAUAGCUGGUCUGAGAGGAGGAUCAGCCACACUGGGACGGAGACACGGCCCAGACUCCUACGGGAGGCAGCAGUAGGGAAUGUUGGGCAAUGGGCGAAACUCUGACGCAGCCAGGCCGCGUGUGUGAAGAAGGUUUUCGGGUUGUAAAGCACUGUUGGUAGGGAAGCGGUAUCGAAAGAAAAAGCAACGGCUAACUACGUGCCAGCAGCCGCGGUAAUAC
rnacentral:rRNA from 1 species